UCGAAGAAUAGGAGAUUUAAUUUCCGUUUCAGAUCUUAAGCGGAUCUGUAGCAGAACCCAACACUCCAGUACAAAACAAGCGCCGAUUUAUUACCGUCAACCUAAAGGGGCGCGUGCGAAUGUCUCUCACUAUAUUUCUGUCAAGGACUCUGGAAAUUGUGUAAGAGAGACCGGCGGAAAGUCAGUGACCGACGACGGGGGCUUAAAGUUUUUUUUCUGUCUCUGUCUCAAUGAAUCAAAGGAAGCUUCUUCUCAAUGAGAGAGUGGAGGUUAGGCAAUUUGAGGAAGGACUGCGAGGCUCUUGGCAUCCUGGGGUGGUGGUUGGUGUCUCCGAAUUAAGCCGUUCUGUUGAAUAUGAUGAACUCUUGAGUGAAACAGGUGACUCGAAGCUCAUCGAGUCCAUCCCUGUCACGGAGGCAAUUGAAGGUCUUCAUUCUCGUCGUCAUGUUUCAUCAACAUAUCGUGGGCAUAUUCGACCUUCACCCCCAGCAUCUGAUAAAAAGUUAUCUUUUGGGGUCUGUGUAGAUGUCCUGUUCGAGGAUGCAUGGUGGGAAGGUGUAGUCUUUGAUUGUCAUGAUGAUGCAAAUGAGCGGUUAGUGUUUUUUCCUGAUGAGGGUGAUGAGCGAAAAUUUAGUGCAAAUCACAUGCGUUUGUCUCGAGAUUGGGAUGAAUUCUUGGGUAUUUGGCAUGACCGUGGUAUUUGGAUUUUGGUGCAGUUGGCCAUGGAGCUUGAGGGAGAUAUUCCUUUAUCUAAUUGUGUUAAGAAGGUUUGGUCAUACUUGCGUUUAAACUAUGGGUUCAACAAAAUGAUCUCAGAGUGGACUUGCGGCGCUCGAAAUGUUUGGAAUAAGUACUUCAUGGAUGCUGUUCAUGAAACUGCAAUUGAAUCAAGUCGGCAGGUUCUUCAUGAUCUGAAUCUGGCUCAUGUAAUGGAGAAAAAACGAAAUACAGGAAAAGUCUCUGAACAUGUUAAGAUAAAGUCAGGAUUAUAUGUUGCUUCUCUCAGGGAAAGAAAUUAUGGUGCUUUAAACAUUUCUGGUUCAAGUCAAGAAACAGAAGAGAAAUGCUUUCCUCAUGAAUGGGCCCGUAAAAGGAGGACUUUGAAGUCAAGAUCGAGGGCUAUGAAAUGGUCAGCAAUAAGUAUUACUAAAAAAGAUAGUUUUCAGUCUGAUAAUUUCUGCAGUAGAACACGGGUAGUAGAUAUUUUAUCCUCCACUAUGAAUGAUACUGUGAGAGGUACAUCUGAUAAAAUAUCUGAUAGUGCUUUUGUUCGGGAUGAAGGGGCAAAUACUGAUUCCCUGCCUACAAAAAAUAAGCAGUCUGGUAAAGUGAACUUAGAUGCAGAGAAGAAAAAAUCUCUUAAGGUUAAGCAAUGUGUGGUGGAAAAAGAAAAGAUUAUCCAUGUUAAGGUGAAUGGGUCAUUUAGGAGAAGGGAAAAUUUGACAAAGUCGAGACAAGUUACAAGAAAUCUAGCUAUUAAUCUUACCAAUUGCAGUCGAAAGCUGCGGAAGAGGAAGCCUUCUGUUACUGUCAGGAAGAAGAGAAAAUGUUCAUCAUUAAAGGCAAUGGAAUUUCAGCGUGCCAAUUCAAAAUUAAAGACUCUAUCUAAGGUGAAAGAGAAGGUAUUAGAUUCUAGACCAGCUAAGAAUGAUUUAUCCAUGGAUCAAUGCCAUGCUCUGCCUAUCAAGAAUCAUAGGAAGAAUGUUACUCCUAAAAGAAAAAGGUCUCAUCCUAGGAAGAGUAAAAGGAGGCGGCUAUUUUGUGACAUUGGUGACACCAUAUGUAGCUUUUGUCACUGUGGGGGAGAUCUUAUUCGCUGCAACAAGUGCCCAUCUUCAUAUCAUUUCAGUUGCCUUGACCUCAAGGAUGUUCCUCAUGGAAAAUGGCUUUGUCCGUCUUGCUGCUGUGGGCUAUGUGGCAAAGGUGACAAUUCACUGUUCACUAAUUCUUGUCUGCAGUGUGCCCGCACAUAUCAUGUUUGCUGCCUGAGUAAAGCUGGAUGUCUUCUUCCUGUGGACUAUCCAUCGCAGGAUUUUUGCAGCAAGUCUUGCUAUGAGUUAUGUGCCCAACUUCAUCAUCUUUUGGGAAUUUCAAACCCCACUUCUGUGGAUGGCUUGACCUGGACAUUGACAAGAUCAUCAAAAAAUGUUUACAAUUUUCCUGGUAUACCAAGGAGUAACACUUGCAUCAAGUUAUCUCAUGUUCUCAGGGUUAUGCAUGAAUGUUUCAGACCAGUUAAGGAUCCUCAUACCAAGAGAGAUCUAGUUAGAGAUCUUGUUUACAGUUCAGGGUCCAAACUUAGAAGGUUGAAUUUUCGUGGGUUUUAUGCUGCUGUUUUGCACAGAGGUGAUGAAAUUAUAUCUGUUGCCACAGUGAGAAUCCAUGGACUAAAGGCUGCGGAGAUGCCUCUUGUUGCUACGCCUUUCCAAUAUCGUCGUCGGGGAAUGUGUCGACUUCUUGUGCAUGAGCUGCUGAAGUUACUUACCAAAUUAGGUGUUGAGAGAUUGAUCUUGCCGGCAAUAGCUCAGUUGAGAAAUACAUGGGAGACUUCUUUUGGAUUUUUAGAAAUGCAUCAUUCAGAAAGGCUACAACUUUCGGGCUAUCCCUUUAUUGGAUUUCAGGGGACCAUCAUGCUACAUAAAGUUCUUAGCAGCUCUGGGCUAGUAAAGGAAACAAACGGUUCUGCUGGAAUAUCUCAAGCUUGCAAAGAAAGUUCAUCUAGUAUAUCUCUGGAGCAUAAUUAUGGGGUUAACAGUGAGAGCAGAUUCUGUGGCUUAUUUUAUCGGCACAAGAAGAAAGCAAAAAUUUUUGGGAAAGAAAAUAAGGUCAAUGGCUGCAAUGGGAACAUGCAAAUGUAUGCUUAAGUUUACAAGCGGAGGCGUAUACUGGGUUGCAGAGAGUGAACAAACAUCGGUACCCUUUGCAGAACGAUUGUAGCUGGAGUGAUUCAGAACAGAUUAAGAGAGGUGAAUGUAUAGUGAAGGGUAAGCUAACUGAGAUAUCAGAUGAGGAUGAUGGUGUUGAACUGCUCAAGUCCAAUUAGAGGUUGGUGAAUCUGAUUCAAGCAAGACAAAUUGUUUUGAUGAAUCAAAUAUGGAGGAGAUAAAUGAUGACUUGGGAGAAGAUUCAGAGAGGUGGAGGGUUGAAAAAGAAAUUUUGGCACGUUCUUGGAAUCCAUAUGUAGAAGAGUUUGAUAAUAACCUCCAUGGACUUGCCAGGGAUGGAGUAAAGCUUUUCAUGACUUGCUGCAUUAGCCAACUCAGUUUUUGUACGAGGGCGUACUACAGUAGCCGGUGCAGAGGUGACAUGAUGGACGGUAAUGUCUCAAAAACUUUGGAUUUAUGAGUCAAGGGAUAAUCAAUUACUGGGUUUAAUACAUAGAUUAUGAGAUUUAUACAACUGGGAACCAAUGUAUUCCAAGCAAUCGAUACUAUGCUAGAGAAAUAAGUGCAACUGAUGAUCAUAAGUUAAACAUGAAACACCUUAAGCAUUAUUUUUAGAAUUAUUCUCCAAUUAACAUAAAUUAUAUUAUAUUAAUAAAAAAUAAUGAACAAUUAUUAACUUGUAAAAAAUAAAGCUUUUAUUAUUUUUUAAUUUUAUCCCCUUAUCAGAGAGUAAAGUGAAACUGCAGCAGAUCUAAUUCUGAUAUAGUUAAAAAAUAGUUUUGAUCAAUUCAUUUUUUAUUGAGGAACUUAUUCGACCCCUAAUCUGAUUCUAAUUUGAAAAGACAAAACAGAAAUGAGAAAAUCUCAUGAGUGAAAUUAGGAUUUGCGUGAACAAGGGUCAUGGACAACAGCCAUGAUUAUGCAUAAUAUCAAGGUCAUUUGAGUACAGGUUGAUAAAACUAGAAAUUUGGAGAUUCACGAAAGAGGCAAUAACAUACACAACCCUAAA